rnacentral:lncRNA from 1 species
GGCCAUGUUCAGGAAGAUCAAGGAUUACUGAGGCCACCAGAAAACAAGGAGGAUUAAACCUGUAGAGAAAAAUUUCCUUCCCUCAAAGGGAUUUUCUUCAACAUCUAGCAAAAGAGCACUCCACCAAGCAUAGUUUUGAUAUCUGAUAUUCCACUGGAAGGGAGGUCCUCAAGAUCUGAGGAGAGAAGCCCUUCUUUUUUCUUUCUGGAAUUCUGAAUAUUAAAACACCCUUCAAAAUUAUGUCUAAAAGGGAAACUUUGCUUCAACAACUGUUGCACCAGGGAACUAAUCGUGAUUUCUGCCUCUCUUUCUGGAUUUCUUCCUCCUGUUUUCCAGGCAAAACCUGCUGGCCGUCAGGUUGCAUGUUAGCAAAAUGCUAUCGUACCCCUGGCUGUCUCCUUCUAGAUCAUGGUUGGACAGCUUGUGGCCCUCCAGAUGUUCUGGCCCACAACUUCCUUGAUCCUUCACUGUAGCUUGUGCUGGCUAAAUCUGGUGGGAGUCACCAGUUGGCCACUCUUGUUCUGGAUGAAAUACUUACAUUUCUUAAUAAAUUCACUCUUCCCAUGGUCAUUUUGGGAAUUAUUUUCCCUGUACCUGCUUUAGUUAGGAUGCCUUUUCUUAAAACAGAUGAGCAAAAGAGGUCACAGCCUGUACUUUUUGAAAGAUUAUUUUUAUUCACACUUUUCUAUAUGCCUCAUAAUCUGACGAUUUGCUUCCAUUGCAGCUGUAACACACACGCACUUUGUCAUCAUCUGCAUGUCUGCUGCUCCCGUCUACUGCUUCUUACAGUUGAUUCUGAUCAAGCAAGAGUGCAUAAUAGCCAUCCCUCUUCUAUUCAGCUCCUCCUGGUUUCUCUCAAGGGAUAUAUGCAGAGACCUUGCCUGAGGGCAGUGAGAUAGCCGGGGCUUCCCCAACCCCGUUUUGGCCUGAUCUGGGAAGACACACACAGUCAUUAACACACCAUGUCAUUUAAGGCAUCCUAAUGCUUUCUGUGAAAGGAGGAAAAAAGAGAGCAAGGAAAAGGAAGCGGCUGAGGCAAAACCCACAGGACCCGGUCGAAUGUAAAAAAUGUAAAAGAGCCCAGCUGGAUCAGACGAAAAGUCCCUUUAGUCCAGCUUCCUUUUGCCAGCAGGACGCGAGCAGAUGCCUCCAGGACGUCUACAAAGCAGGUCAUGAAGGCAACAGCUUUCCUCUGUCACAUGUGCCCAGGAUUUUUAUUCAGAGGUUUACUGUCUCUGAAUACAUCGGUUCUAAUUUCACCAUUGUACCUAUUAACCGUUGGUAGACCUACCCUCUAUACAUUUGUCAAGUUUUAAGAGCAAGGCCUACCAAGAGUCUGAUCUUCCUGCAGCAAGCUGCCCAUCAAGGGUCCCUCCUGAGGAACUGAAGGCAAUUAGAUUUGAAGAUUUAUUUUCACAUACUUACUUUUCUCUAGAACUCUAACAAGAGAU